rnacentral:lncRNA from 1 species
UCCUAGAGUCAAGCCAGAAACUUAAUGAUUAAACAAAUCACUUCCUUGAACGCAGUCUUUUUCCAAGGUUCUGUUAGCCAUACUCUCAGGAAGCUGUGAAGUAGGGAGAUCUACGUGGGGGUCUCUUUGUACUGAGACUCAUCAGCAUCUCGGAAAGCAGAAGGGCCUGAAUUAUUGCAGGCACAAGUGGGAGGCUGGGACAGCAUUUCUGACUUCCUGGGAGAAGAUGUCGAAGACACAGGAGAAGACAAGCCAGGGAGAGGGGCUUAGAGCAGAUUCUCCCUUGCAGCCUCAGAAGGAAUCAGUCCUGGUCACACCUUGAUCUCAGACUUCUGGCCUCCAGAAUGGUAGCAGCAGCAAAAAUGGCAAAAUGAGGACUUUUGAGAAUUCCUUUCUCUAUGGAAACAAAACCCUGGGGGAAAAUGGUCUGAAUCAACCUUUUCAGAACUCUGGAAAUUAGCCCGAGACUUGAAGCAAUUCAGGUUGCAUUUGUAUAAGAAAAGUGACAGAAUCUCAGUAAGAACAGCAAGCUUUGAAGGAUUUGAACUUGCCCAGUUGCCUUCCUUCUUUCUCCAUCUCUGCAGGGGACUUAAAACCAACAUCCCACACUCAUAAUGAAAACCUGGCAGGAGGCAGAACAGGAUUGGAGCUGCUUCAAAGCCUUAGGUCCAGAGAACUCAUCACCUAUGCAGAUCCUCAAUAAGACUCAAAGCUGAUUCCGCCUCAGAAACCAUGGAGACCCAAAGCCAAAUUCAAAGUGCUGAAAGUUAACUCAUCCAAUCAGUCAACUCUUGUACAGACCUCCUUUUUUUUUGUUCUUGGAGUUUGUUUUAUUCUAAUAAAGGUGUUUUAUAUUGUUGUUGUAUUAUUCUUAAAUACCAUAUUUUAGUUGCUAUUAUAAAUGGUACUUCUAUUGCCGUUUUGUCUAACAUUUUCUGGUGGUCAAAUUUCUAGCUAGUGUGGAAGAACACUGAUGGUUUUUACUUAUUGAUUUUCUCUCUGGCAAUCUCACUAAACCUUAUGAUAAGUAAUAAACCUUAUGAUAGUAGAAAAGGUUGAUAUGAUAUGAUAGUAGUAAUCCUCUGGAUUACCCAUCCCCUCUUGAUAAUCUCUGUUGAAAUAAUCACAUUAUGUGCAACUAAUGACAAUGUCACUGCUCUUAUAGUCUCUAUGUGCAUUUCUUUUUCUUGUCUUACUGCUUUGACUCAUUCAGUUGACUGCCAUUCACAGAACAGAUGUGGAACGGUUGUUUUCGUU